GCUUUUGUAGCUCAGUGGUAGAGCAUUUGCCUAGCAUAUGCAAGGCCCUGGGUUUAAUCCCCAGCACAGCA
rnacentral:tRNA from 1 species